rnacentral:rRNA from 1 species
CGCGUAGGUGGCUCAGCAAGUUGGAUGUGAAAGCCCCGGGCUCAACCUGGGAACUGCAUCCAAAACUACUGAGCUAGAGUACGGUAGAGGGUGGUGGAAUUUCCUGUGUAGCGGUGAAAUGCGUAGAUAUAGGAAGGAACACCAGUGGCGAAGGCGACCACCUGGACUGAUACUGACACUGAGGUGCGAAAGCGUGGGGAGCAAACAG